CAGUAAAUAGUUUAAUAAAAAUUUUAAUUUUGGGGAUUAAAGAUGAGUAUGUUAGAGUUAUUUUUUACUGA
rnacentral:tRNA from 1 species